UACGGAGGGAGCUAGCGUUGUUCGGAAUUACUGGGCGUAAAGCGCACGUAGGCGGCUUUGUAAGUUAGAGGUGAAAGCCUGGAGCUCAACUCCAGAACUGCCUUUAAGACUGCAUCGCUUGAAUCCAGGAGAGGUGAGUGGAAUUCCGAGUGUAGAGGUGAAAUUCGUAGAUAUUCGGAAGAACACCAGUGGCGAAGGCGGCUCUCUAGUACGGUACUGACGCUGAGACGCGAAAGCGUGGGGAGCGAACAGG
rnacentral:rRNA from 1 species